rnacentral:lncRNA from 1 species
UGUUAGCUAGGUUAGGGGUUGCUAGAUGUUCCUAUGUAACGUUAUACGCCCACCCAUCCAACUGGACCAACCACCCUACUUCGGUUUUUACCUUGAGUAACCUUCUGUCUUAUGUAACCAACCAAAGGUAUAUCAUAUUAAUUUGAGUGUUCCGGAUAUGCGUUUACUAUGUUACGUCUAGUCUAUCAAACAGGCUACUAUACCGGAUUUUUGACAGGUGUUGGCAUGAUGCCCCAUUUACAUCGCGAACUGAUCUUCAUGAAUUCUUGCCCCGCUACUGAAUGGACAAGUGUAGUGUUUGUAACACAAGAUGGAGGAGAGCUUGUCUCUUGAUCACAUUUAUUUUGGGAGAUUGUAAAAUAUUACCUUUUCGUUCAAGACAUGAUAAAUAUAUUGGCUGCAAUCCACUCCCAGUUAAGCGGGGUCCGGUCAGGCCACCUUCAGCUCCAAAAUGCCCUGGGGGAUGUGAUGGACAUCCAGAACUUUCUUUCUGGUAGAAGUCAGCAAUGACUGGAGGCAAAACAUUAACACCAUUGAGAACCUGAAGUAUGUAAAAUAUGCUGGGACGCAACAUCAGCGGUGGCUCCUCAGAGGAGGAAAGUGAGGACCAUUCUCCUCAGUGAAUAUAUGUAUGCUAAAUAUAUUCACAUCACUAAAUAAUGAAUUAAAACACACUGUUUUGCAAUGAAGGUCUACAGUAGCCUCAACAGCACUCUCUGGGGUAGCACAAUGGUGUAGCUGGAGAACAGAUAGUUUCCGUCCUCCUCUGUGUACAUUAACUUCAUUACAAAACCUAAGAGGCUCAUGGUUGUCACCCCCUUCCAUAGACUUAGAGUAAUUAUGACUGUAUUAGAGGGUGAUGCCUCUGGAAUUUAUGCACUGAUUGAGUAGGUGAAGUUAUGGAGAUUGUGCUCUUAUUAGAGAAAUGGUGAGAGAGACAGUUCCUCAGUUUAGGGUUAUUUAAUGUUGAUUGGAGAUUAACAAUGUUUGCAAUUCUGUGCCAUGUCACUCAGCUGUGAUUAUCCAAUGAACUGUCCUUUUAUCCAUACAAGAUGUGGUCUGGAAAUAAUAAUAAACAUGAAUACAAUGACAUCAAUAUACUAAUAUUUUUCAACUGUGCUGUUUCACAAAAGUUAUAUUUUACGGACACAGUAUAUUUUACAUUAGUUCUCUUGUUAUUUUUAGUACCACCCUUCAGCUCCAUGGUUUGACUUUGAACGUUUU